CGUUACCUCGCUUUUUCGACUCUUUCUCUCUUUUCAAUUCGCCGAUGACACGCGUCCCUCAAACAAUACCAAACAUACGCUACAUUUCUUUCUUUUUAUACCCUUUCUCCCCCCCCCUUGAUCUUCUGCAUCUACUUCUUCUUCUUCAUUUCUCUCUCUACCCCAUUUUCUUGCCCUUACUCCUUCUUGCCAGACCUAAGGCCAACCAUCAAAGAGUAAUCACGGGCACAUCACGUAUAAUGUUUUCUUUUCGGUUUGCACCCUCUCUAAACUAGUCCACGCAUCUCUCUCCAAAGAAGCAGACGAAGAAGACGACUCCAAAUAGGGCUGUAUGCGCUUCUCUCUCAACCGGUCUUUUCGUUUUUGGGAGUAAUCGUAAUGCAACCCUUUAUUUGUUGCUUACGUUCGCAUGAAGUUCGAGAAAAUGCUUUAAUUUCAAUCUCAGGAUUGGGAGAUUUUGAGACAAAUAAUAUACAGACCUACAUGGAGUAUGGAGUGGCUCCAGCUAGUAAGAAAUGAUCAAAAUUUAAAAGCGGAAAUAUGCAAAAGAAUUUUUUAGAGCUAUUGCACUGAUCCUAAGAAGGUUUCUUAAUGAAGAAUGCCAACAAAUUUCCAAAACCCACAAACAGAGUAGAAGCAAAACAAAAACCAGCCCAGUCCUCACAAUUGGGGUUUCAUCCGAAGAAAGCCACAAAAACCAGCUGAUCCGGUUGAUUUCGUGUUCUGCUACAGGGAUUGGAGUCUGAGGACGUGAAUACCAAGAACCCAAAUGGGGUUUCAUCCGAAGAAAGCCACAAUUGAAGACCGGCGCCUAUUGUGGUACGGGUACCUCUAAGACCCUUCUCUGGCGAGGAGGCCCAGCCGGUCAGGCCGUCACUAGAAGAGAAAAAGGUUGGCGAGCGGUUGCCCCAACAAAAUUAGUUGCCCGUGGAGGUUGUUGAUAGAGGGCUAGAAGUUGGGCUAGUUCGGUUGGUUCGGCUGGUUCAGCCAUGGCGUUCUUGUUGGGAAAGGAAGGAGGACGGGUGAAGUGAGGGACGCGUGAAGGAGAGAGCGAGG